GGCGGCGUGCUUACACAUGCAAGUCGAGUGCGCGUCUGUAGCAAUACAGAUGGCGCACGGCGCACGGGUGCGUAACACGUGGGUAAUCUGCCCUUCGAAGGGGAAUAACUCGCCGAAAGGCGAGCUAAUUCCGCAUAACAUUCCGGGGACCUUGGUUCUUGGAUUCAAAGGCGUAAGUCGUCGGAGGAGGAGCCCGCGCACGAUUAGCUAGUUGGUAGGGUAACGGCCUACCAAGGCUAUGAUCGUUAGCUGGUCUGAGAGGAUGGCCAGCCACACUGGAACUGAGACACGGUCCAGACUCCUACGGGAGGCAGCAGUGGGGAAUCUUGCACAAUGGGCGAAAGCCUGAUGCAGCGACGCCGCGUGGGGGAUGAAGCUUCUCGGAGUGUAAACCCCUUUCGACCCGGACGAAUGCCCCGCAAGGGGACUGACGGUACGGGUAUAAGAAGCCCCGGCUAACUACGUGCCAGCAGCCGCGGUAAGACGUAGGGGGCCAGCGUUGCUCGGAAUUACUGGGUGUAAAGGGUUCGUANGCGGUGUGGCAAGUCGGGAGUGAAAUCUCUAGGCUCAACCUAGAGUCUGCUUCCGAAACUGCUGUGCUUGA
rnacentral:rRNA from 1 species